GUCUACGGCCACACCACCCUGAACGCGCCCGAUCUCGUCUGAUCUCGGAAGCUAAGCAGGGUCGGGCCUGGUUAGUACUUGGAAGGGAAAAUUUUGUUUAAAUAUUAUUAGACAAUUUGUUACAAUGUAAACU
rnacentral:rRNA from 1 species